rnacentral:rRNA from 1 species
UCAGGCGUCGAGCGGCGGACGGGUGAGUAAUACUUAGGAAUCUACCUAGUAGUGGGGGAUAGCUCGGGGAAACUCGAAUUAAUACCGCAUACGUCCUACGGGAGAAAGCAGGGGACCUUCGGGCCUUGCGCUAUCAGAUGAGCCUAGGUCGGAUUAGCUAGUUGGUGAGGUAAUGGCUCACCAAGGCGACGAUCCGUAACUGGUCUGAGAGGAUGAUCAGUCACACUGGAACUGAGACACGGUCCAGACUCCUACGGGAGGCAGCAGUGGGGAAUAUUGGACAAUGGGCGAAAGCCUGAUCCAGCCAUGCCGCGUGUGUGAAGAAGGUCUUCGGAUUGUAAAGCACUUUAAGUUGGGAGGAAGGGCAUUAACCUAAUACGUUAGUGUUUUGACGUUACCGACAGAAUAAGCACCGGCUAACUCUGUGCCAGCAGCCGCGGUAAUACAGAGGGUGCAAGCGUUAAUCGGAAUUACUGGGCGUAAAGCGCGCGUAGGUGGUUUGUUAAGUUGGAUGUGAAAUCCCCGGGCUCAACCUGGGA